CAGCAACACCUAUGGGACCAGUUGCCCAAAGCAAAUUCUCUGUUGGCUUACCUAAAAGAUGAAGAUUUCAGGAGUUUGCAAGGAGUUUUUAAGAUCCUGCCCUGUUUCAGGUCUCCCAGAAGAAGAUGGCUGGGCAGGCUCAGCUCUGCUUUCUUGCUGGGCUUUUUUGGUGGCCUACGUCUCCAUUGGUGCACCUUGACUGCCCCGCUGAGAAGCUUUGGUGAGGACUUAGACCACCACUACAGAGCACCAUGGCAGAUCUUUUUUUUUCCUUUAAAUGAAAAGUAUGAAGUUUCCACAGGAAGCAGGAACAUUCUCCAAAAUUGUAAUUAUGUCAAAGACACAGCACUUUCUCUUCUGGAUGAAGAAGCUGAGUCUGUCCAAGUGAGAAGCCUAAGAACAGCUCAGGGGGCUGGAGAGAGAGAGCCAACUGCACGCAGUCUGCAAACAAGCUGA
rnacentral:lncRNA from 1 species